rnacentral:misc_RNA from 1 species
UGAUAUUGACUUACCUGAAGAAGCCGAAAAACAAGGUGAUACCCCAGAUUGUAGUUCAUCAAAGCAUAAACGUAGCCACAAGAAGAAGCGCAAACAUAAACACAAGCAUAAACACAAACACAAAAGUACCCGUAAUGAAGGCUCUGAUGAUCAACGCCACAAGCAUCGACAUAAACACAAGAAACGUCGUAGCAGGCGGGAGCAUACAGAUGAAGAGAAGUCAUCAGUAUCUGAUCAAGAAGUUGAUAAUAGGCAGACCAUUAAGAACAAUGAUUCCGUAGAUGAUGCUGCCUAUUUAGAUGAACUGGAGAGACAAAAAGAAUUACUGACAGCAGAAUUGGCUGGUGAUUUAGGAUACAAUCCCAAUGAUGUCACUGUCAAAUCUGCAAUUUCUCUAAUAGCUCAAGGUUACCGUUCUUCUGGUGAGGAAGAAGAGGAAGGUCAAGUGAAUGAAGUAGAUGAAUCUGAUCGCCAUUCUGAACAGGAAACUCCACUACCUCAGCAAAUGCUUGUCGACGUUUCAAUAGAAUCUUCUGAAGAAGAAGUUAAAAUCUCUAAGCAUUCAAAAUCACAUUCCCGUAAAAAAAGCCGCUCACCUCGUGAGAAAAAAAAACGAAAGAGGAGCAAGUCUCCAAAAACACAUAGCUCAAAACGAACUUCCUCUCGCGCAGAUGAGAGAAUAGAUGAAAAGUCUUUAUUAUCUAGAAAAAAGAGUGGCUCUUUGGAUAGAUUUAGAGAUUAUGAAUCAUCAAAGAGAGACAGAGAAAGCCAACGAAAAUCCUCCCCAAAGAGCCGUGAUUCACCAGUAAGGAAUCGAGUAUCACAUAGAGAGAAACAAUCGCCAGACAAACGAAGGCAUUCGCCAGAGAGGAGACGGCCCUCAGCAGAUAAAAGGGCGUCACCUGAUCGUAGGAGGCUAUCACCAGAUAAGAAAAGGGAAUCGCCAGAUAUUAGGAGGGAAUCACCUAUAAGAAGACGAGACACUCCAGAUAGAAUGAAAACAUCUUUAGAGCGUAAGCCCUUUAGAACACACGAUUAUGAAGAAUUACGACGUCCUAAAUCACCACCCAGAAAAGAAAGACGUAGGAGUCGGUCUCCACCAUUUUCUGGAAGGAGGAGAAGCAAAUCCCCUAAUUCUAGAAGAAUACUAUCAUUGGAAAGUUUAAGAGGAAGAACACCUCCCAGGAGACGAUCCCCACCAGAGCGGUUUGAUCGUGCAAUGCAUCGCAGACACAGGUCACCUUAUCGGAGACAUGGUAGAUACUCAUCUGAAGACCGAAGAGAAAGGAGAAAACGUAGUUACUCUCCGAAGGAAGAUAAAUUCAAAGGAAGUCUUUCAGAGGGACAGUCUUUACAGAAGAAUGCUUCAUCUGAGGACGAAAUUGAAGAUGUUGAUAUUGAGGAGAUGGAAGAUGAAGAGACGUUGAUUGAAAAGAGGCGACUUCAAAGACAACAGUUAUUACAGAAACUUGGCGGUGGUAUAAGUGCAGAUGUGAGCAGGGAGGGUAGUGUAGCUGAAAGUGAAAUAAAUAGCGACGUCAAUUCGCAAUCUGGAUCUCGCUCGCCCUCUCCAGAGAGUAAAGUUGAGAGCCGUGCUGUGACUUCUAGUAGUGACACAGACAGUGAUUCAUCAGUUGAUGAAGAAACUACAGAAACUCUUGACAAGGAAGAACUUGAUUUUGAGAAAUCCAUUGACCAAAAACGAAGCAAUAUUGUUAUUGAACCUGCUCAAGAUGGUGAAACUAAGACCAAACCAAAUGGCUUUGAUAUGUUCAGUGAAAUGGAUAUGUUUAGUGAUAAGUUUAAUAGUCCUACAAUCAUAGAAGGUAUUGGACAGUAUCAUCAAGAAAAUCCAAAUCUGACAGAUAAUUGGGAUGAUGCAGAAGGCUACUACCGUGUUCGUAUAGGUGAAACAUUGGAUAAACGCUAUCAAGUAUACGGUUACACCGGUCAAGGUGUGUUUAGUAACGUGGUCAGGGCUCGCGAUGUUGCACGGGGACAGCUUGAAGUGGCCAUUAAAAUCAUUCGUAACAAUGAAUUGAUGCACAAGACAGGACUAAAAGAGCUUGAAUACCUCAAGAGGUUGAAUGAUACUGACAGAGAGGAUAAAUAUCAUUGUCUACGUCUAUUUAGACAUUUUUUUCAUAAAAACCAUCUUUGCCUUGUUUUUGAAUCUUUAAGUUUGAAUCUGCGUGAGAUAUUGAAGCGGUAUGGGCAAGGUGUUGGCCUGCAUGUGAAAGCUGUUCGAUCCUACACUCAUCAACUGUUCCUUGCCCUCAAGCUGUUAAAAAAGUGCAACGUUCUGCAUGCAGAUAUUAAACCAGACAACAUAUUGGUAAAUGAUUCUAAAUCUGUGUUAAAAUUGUGUGAUUUUGGUUCUGCAUCCCAUGUUGCUGAGGCUGACAUAACUCCUUAUUUGGUCAGUAGGUUCUACAGAGCCCCAGAAAUCAUUAUUGGUAUGAAGUAUGACUAUGCUAUUGAUCUAUGGAGCACAGCAUGUACAAUCUAUGAACUAUACACCGGCAAGAUCAUGUUCCCAGGGAAGACCAACAACCACAUGUUGAAGUUGUUCAUGGAUGUUAAAGGCAAAAUGCCAAAUAAGAUCAUCCGCAAAGGCUUCCUCAAAGAUAAUCAUUUUGAUAGUAACUGUAACUUCAAGUUUAUUGAGAUAGACAAAAUCACAGAACGGGAAAAAGUAACAGUUAUGUCUACUAGUAAUCCAACGAAAGAUCUAAUGGCAGAUUUAAUUGGAUACCAACGCCUACCAGAAUCACAACUUCGAAAAGUCAUCCAAUUAAAGGACCUGUUAGAUAAGAGUCUGAUGCUAGACCCAUCCAAGCGAAUCUCAUUGAGUGAUGCUUUACGCCAUCCAUUCCUACAGGAGAAGAUAUAAAAAGAGAGAUAGACUUUCCCUUGGUAAUUACUUUGGUAAUAAGUUAUCAUCUGGGAUUGUUUCUGUUCUGUCCAAUGACAAGCAUCAUUAAGUUUAAUUCAUCAGAAGUAUUGAGUCAUAAUCUGGUGUAACCUGGAUAUCUGCAAUCAGGACAAGCCAUUUGUCGGUAGCAGCAACCGGCUUCUCAUCGUGGAACCCGCCAUGAGGAAAAAAGCUCAGUACACAGUUAACGUCGAGAUGGCGGAUGUGACGAUUUCGACAGAAAUUUUACAGAUAAGUGUUAAAUAUGAUGAUGGUUAGCUCAGUAUCUAAUAAGUGAACAUGAGUCCUUUUCAACUUAUAAUAUAUUAAGAAAGGAAUACUGUAGAGCCAGAGAUGUGUACAAAAAUCUAAUGUAGUUUAAUGCAAGUACAUAAUUAAAGGUGCUUGAAACCAUA